GCAAACAUGGUUACAGAUAUUUUAUUUCAAGCAAUUUAUUUAUCUGAUUCUGUAGGAUUUAUGUUUUAGAAACACACUUUAGGUAUCUUUCGACCCGUUAAGCCUGUUUUCUUUAAAGCUCUUUUUAUUACAGAUAGAAACACAACUUGCUUAGGCCCAUAUGUUACAAAACGGGUCGAAAUUGACGCCUCUAUAUAGUCUCUAUUGUUUUAAGCUUUUUCUUUCUUAGUUUUUAAGUUAUAUAAUGUAUGCAAUGACUUUUAUGUAGGUCUUCUUCUUUGGAAUCAAACUAGGCAACAGUGGGUAGGAAGUAAAAGAAAGUCCAAACAAACCGACCAGAACCGAGAGCCCAAAUUGAGUCGGAAUGCAACGUAUGAAAAUUUGCUUGGAAGCAACAAGCCGUUCGCCAAGCGUGUUCCUCUAUCUGAAAUGGUUACUUUUUUGGUGAAUGUGUGGGAGCAUGAAGGGAAGUAUAAUUGAGAAACAUAGCUUGUGGUCUAAAGAGUACCCAAAUAUCAAAUUUACAUUACAUUACAUUACAAACCAUACAAAUAUCAAUUUGGAUCAGUUAAGGUAAACAAUAUUGUAAUGUUUAUUGAUUUUAAUCAAACAAAACAAGUAUAGAAGAAGCAA